rnacentral:misc_RNA from 1 species
CACCACUCAAGCCUGGCUUGGUAUUGGGCGCCGCGGUGUUCCGCGCGCCUCAAAGUCUCCGGCUGAGCUGUCCGUCUCCAAGCGUUGUGAUUUCAUUAAUCGCUUCGGAGUGCGGGCGGCCGCGGCCGUUAAAUCUUUCACAA